rnacentral:lncRNA from 1 species
AUCUUCAAAAAAAGGGUUGUUCCAACCCGCGGGACCCCCACCACUGCAUAUUAAAUUCAUGUAUUUGGCAACAAACGCGCGAUUUUUACGAUUUUUUUAAGGGGGAAUGGCGGGAUUUAAUGGCUCAUCCUGCAUUUUUUCAUCAAAUAUAAAGAUCACAGCCUGUGUAUUUUAAAAUGAAUUAGCCCCCCUCCCCCUCCCCGCUUUCCGUUUUAUUCAUAAAAAUCAAACAUUAUCUUACUUACCACUAAAAUAUUCCUUAAUAUAUUACUUUUUU